rnacentral:rRNA from 1 species
AGAGUUUGAUCAAGGCUCAUUAUUGAACGCUGGCGGCAUGCCUUACACAUGCAAGUCGAACGGUAACAGGUCUUUGGAUGCUGACGAGUGGCGAACGGGUGAGUAAUGCAUCGGAACGUGCCCGAUCGUGGGGGAUAACGAAGCGAAAGCUUUGCUAAUACCGCAUACGAUCUACGGAUGAAAGCAGGGGACCGCAAGGCCUUGCGCGAACGGAGCGGCCGAUGGCAGAUUAGGUAGUUGGUGGGAUAAAAGCUUACCAAGCCGACGAUCUGUAGCUGGUCUGAGAGGACGACCAGCCACACUGGGACUGAGACACGGCCCAGACUCCCACGGGAGGCAGCAGUGGGGAAUUUUGGACAAUGGGCGAAAGCCUGAUCCAGCCAUGCCGCGUGCAGGAUGAAGGCCUUCGGGUUGUAAACUGCUUUUGUACGGAACGAAAAGACUCUGGUUAAUACCUGGGGUCCAUGACGGUACCGUAAGAAUAAGCACCGGCUAACUACGUGCCAGCAGCCGCGGUAAUACGUAGGGUGCAAGCGUUAAUCGGAAUUACUGGGCGUAAAGCGUGCGCAGGCGGUUAUAUAAGACAGAUGUG